rnacentral:lncRNA from 1 species
ACACGUUUAGUUUAGUGCCUUGAAAACGUGUUUCAACAAUUUCCCCCUUUUUGAUAAUGGCAAACCUUAAUCGGGGUAUGCAUAUUAGGUAAUUCAUAAUGACGAUCCAAGACAAGUAUAUAUACAUGCAAUUAGUUCCCCCUCAACAUAUGAAUUCCCCCUCAAUUUGUGACAAUAAGUAUUAAGUGCAUAGCCCUUAUUCUUCCCCCUUUUGACAUUAGCAAAAAAAUUGGUAAAUAACUU